UGCUGUGUUCAAGCAUGACAAGUUAAAUCACCAGCUCGCACCGUCCGACAGGCACAGCAUUGUUGAUGUAACUAGCUAAAACAUGUGGGAGGUGCGUUAGUCUCAACCGCAGGCGCGGCGGCGGCGGGAAAUAGCAACACAGCAGCACCUCCCAGUUCCACUGCCAUUGAUGCCGCUGCUGCUGCGUUGCUAGGCCCUGCCGCCACCGCGCCUGCUGUGUGAGGUUACUGCACCUCCCAGCCCCAAAGUCGUCGCUGCCGCUGUUACUAUGUUGCUAGGCCCCGCUGCUGCCGAACUUGCUGUUUAGGCUACUGCACCUCUUAGCCCCACCACCAUCGCCGCCACCCCUGCUGUUGAGACUAAUGCAUCUCCAAACCCCACCGCCGUCGCUGCCGCUGCUGCGGUGUUGCUAUUUCCCGCCGCCGCCGCGCCUGGUGUUUAGGCUACUGCACCUCCCAGCCCCACCGCCGUCGCUGCCGCUGCUGCUGCGUUGCUAUUUCCCGCCGCCGCCGCGCCUGCCGUUUAGGCUACUGCACCUCCCAGCCCCACUGCCGUCGCUGCCGCUGCUGCUGUGUUGCUAAUUCCCGCCGCCGCCGCGCCUGCCGUUUAGGCUACUGCACCUCCCAGCCCCACCGCCGUCGCUGCCGCUGCUGCUGUGUUGCUAUUUCCCGCCGCCGCCGCGCCUGCCGUUUAGGCUACUGCACCUCCCAGCCCCACCGCCGUCGCUGCCGCUGCUGCUGUGUUGCUAUUUCCCGCCGCCUCCGCGCCUGUUGUUCAGACUAAUGCACCUCCCAGCCCCACCGCCGUCGCUGCCGCUGCUGCUGUGUUGCUAAUUCCCGCCGCCGCCGCGCCUGCCGUUUAGGCUACUGCACCUCCCAGCCCCACCGCCGUCGCUGCCGCUGCUGCUGUGUUGCUAUUUCCCGCCGCCGCCGCGCCUGCCGUUUAGGCUACUGCACCUCCCAGCCCCACCGCCGUCGCUGCCGCUGCUGCUGCGUUGCUAUUUCCCGCCGCCGCCGCGCC
rnacentral:lncRNA from 1 species